rnacentral:rRNA from 1 species
CAGUCGCCGCGGGAACACGUAGGUGGCAAGCGUUGUCCGGAAUUAUUGGGCGUAAAGCGCGCGCAGGCGGCCUAUCCAGUCUGUCUUAAAAGUUCGGGGCUCAACCCCGUGAUGGGAUGGAAACUAGUAGGCUAGAGUAUCGGAGAGGAAAGCGGAAUUCCUAGUGUAGCGGUGAAAUGCGUAGAUAUUAGGAAGAACACCAGUGGCGAAGGCGACUUUCUGGACGAAAACUGACGCUGAGGCGCGAAAGCCAGGGGAGCGAACGGGAUUAGAUACCCCGGUAGUCCCUGUCUCUUAUACA